rnacentral:rRNA from 1 species
CAUGCAAGUCGAGCGGUAACAGACAUAAAGAUUCAGCUUGCUGAAUCCGGUGCUGACGAGCGGCGAACGGGUGAGUAACGCGUAGGAAUCUACCCAGUAGCGGGGGAUAGCCCGAGGAAACUCGGAUUAAUACCGCAUACGCCCUGAGGGGGAAAGGGGGCAGUUUACUGCUCUCACUAUUGGAUGAGCCUGCGUAAGAUUAGCUUGUUGGUAGGGUAAUGGCCUACCAAGGCGACGAUCUUUAGCUGGUCUGAGAGGACGAUCAGCCACAUUGGGACUGAGACACGGCCCAGACAUCUACGGAUGGCAGCAGUUAAGAAUAUUGGACAAUGGGGGCAACCCUGAUCCAGGUAUACCGCGUGUGUGAAGAAGGCCCUAGGGUUGUAAAGCACUUUAAUCAGAGAAGAAGCAAUUUAAGUUAAUACCUUAUUUUGUUGACGUUACCUGAAGAAUAAGGACCGGCUAACUCCGUGCCAGCAGCCGCGGUAAUACGGAGGGUCCAAGCGUUAAUCGGAAUUACUGGGCGUAAAGCGCGCGUAGGCGGUUUAGCAAGUUGUAUGUGAAAGCCCUGGGCUCAACCUAGGAACUGCAUCCAAAACUACUAAGCUAGAGUACGAGAGAGGAGAGUAGAAUUUCUGGUGUAGCGGUGAAAUGCGUAGAUAUCAGAAGGAAUACCAAUGGCGAAGGCAGCUCUCUGGCUCGUCACUGAC